UCUUGGUCAUUUAGUGGAAGUAAAAGUCGUAACAAGGUUUCCGUAGGUGAACCUGCGGAAGGAUCAUUAUCGUACAAAAUGUGAGAGGGGCAUGCAAUGGCUGUCGCUGACUCAAAGUCGUGCACGCCGGAGUGUGUCCUCUUGCAUAAUAAUCCAUCUCACCCUUUGUGCACCAUCGCGUGGGCACCCUUCGGGAUCAGACCGGUCUUGGAGGGAUGCUCAUGUUUUCACACAAACCCCCCUUUUAAAAGUGUAGAGUGACCUCAUUUAUGCGCUAACCCGCAAUCAAUACAAUACAACUUUCAACAACGGAUCUCUUGGCUCUCGCAUCGAUGAAGAACGCAGCGAAAUGCGAUACGUAAUGUGAAUUGCAGAAUUCAGUGAAUCAUCGAAUCUUUGAACGCACCUUGCGCCCCUUGGUAUUCCGAGGGGCACACCCGUUUGAGUGUCGUGAAAAUCUCAACCUCCUUGGUUUCUUCUGGAGACCAAAGGAGGCUUGGACUUUGGAGGCAUUUGCUGGCAUCUUCUCUCCUUUGAAGGUCAGCUCCUCUUAAAUGAAUUAGCGGGCUCCUCUUUGCCAAUCCUUGACAUGUGAUAAGAUGCUUCCAUGCCUUGGUUUCUGGCUCUGUUGCUUCUGGGACCCGCUUCUAACCGUCUUGACCUUGCAUCGAGACAAUGUUCGAGCUUGUCUCCCUUCUUGGGGAGACACUCUCGACCCCACAAACCCUUGACCUCAAAUCGGGUGAGACUACCCGCUGAACUUAAGCAUAUCAAUAAGCGGAGGAAAAGAAACUAACAAGGAUUCCCCUAGUAACUGCGAGUGAAGCGGGAAAAGCUCAAAUUUAAAAUCUGGCGGUCUUUGGCUGUCCGAGUUGUAAUUUAGAGAAGCGUCUUCCGCGCCGGACCGUGCACAAGUCUCCUGG
rnacentral:sRNA from 1 species